rnacentral:rRNA from 1 species
GACGAACGCUGGCGGCGUGCUUAACACAUGCGAGUCGAACGGAAAGUCCCUGCUUUUGGGGGGUGCGCGGGUUGCGAACGGGUGAGUAAGAAGUGAGUAAGCUACCCGUGACUAUGGGAGAGCUUCAGGAAACUGGGGCUAAUACCGGAUAGGAACUCCGGCUGCAUGGUUGGGGGGGGAGAGUUUCGGCGGGUGGGGAUGGGCUCGCGGCUGAUCAGCUUGUGGGUGGGGUAGUGGCUUACGAAGGCUUCGACGGGUAGCCGGCCUGGGAGGGUGGCCGGGCCCCUUGGGACUGAGGUAAGGCCCAGAAUCCUAUGGGCGGCAGCAGUGGCGAAUCUUGCGGAAUGGGCGGAAGCGUGAUGGAGAAGCGUUGGGUGCGGGAUGACGGGCUGCGGGUUGUAAACCGGUUUCGCCUGUGCCGAAGCGUGAGUGACGGUAAUGGGUAAAGAAGCCCCGGCUAACUACGUG